UUGCGACAGGAAAUUGAAGGAUUUUUCAAACAUGCAUGAAAGAAUCAAAGCAACACUCCAGAUAUGUUUUUGACGAUGGAAUAGCAUUAUAACAUGAUUGGAAGCUCAUAAAAGUCAAUUUUACACAA